rnacentral:lncRNA from 1 species
AUAUGUUUUUCCUUGUUUUUAUCUAAUUUUUUUGUUUUGUUAAUUAUUUUAUGGUUUUUUUUCUUGCUUUUCUUUUCUUUUCAUAUACUAUUUCUUACAGUUUUUUUUUAUAAAAAAAUUACGUUUUACUUUUUUUUAUCUUUUUCUUUUCUUUUCUUUUCUUUUGAUAUUUUCCCACAUUUCCCCCCUUUUUAAAUUUUUACUUUCCUAUUUUUAUCUACUCUUUUUGUAUUUCUUUUUUUUUCUUCCUUUUAUCUGUUUUUUCCCAUGUUUUCUAUUUCUCUACUUCUUGUUUUUAUUUUAUUUUUUAUCUAUUUCUCUACUUUUUUUAUUUUUCUUGUUAUUUUUCUUGUUUUUAUAUAUUAUUUCUGUUUUUAUCAAUUUUUAAUUUUUUAUUUUCUUUCCUUUUCUUUCUUUUUUAUAUUUUCUAUUUUCUUUUUUUUGUUUUUUUAUGUUUUUACUUUUUUUAUUACAUUUUAACUUUUUAUUUUCUUUUUUCUGUUUAUAUAUUUCUUUUCAUGUUUUCUAUUUUUAUCUAUUUUUUCUUUUUUACUUAUUUAUCAAGGAAAAUGGAGUGGUAGUCAGUGUUAAUUUUAGAAGGGGGCGUAUCUAUAUUAUAAAUCAGGACUUAGUUUGAAUCCAAAUCUAUCUCUCGCUAUCGCUGCUCAAAUUCAUUUAAUUUUUGAUCCAACGGCUCAGAUUUCACUUGAAAAUUAUUUUGUCCGGCUAAAAAAACAUCACUUUCACUCUCUCUCUCCUCCAUCACUCUCUCUUUCUUUCUCAAUCAUCUCUCUCUUUUAGUGGGACGUACACACCUUUAUUGUUCUCUCAUUUUUAAUUUUUUAUUUAAUAAAGUUAUUUAUUAUUUGUUAAAAUUUUAUUUAUUAUAAUUAUUUUGACGAUAGAGCCUAAAAAUAUAAAAAAAUAUUUUUAUUUGAAGAAAAAAAUAAUAAUUAGUUUUUUAGUGAACUUUCUCUUAAAUUCGAUAAUUUUUUAUAUUUUUAUAUUCUUUUUAUGAAGGAAAAGAUAAAAGAUAUAAAAUAUUCUUAAUUGGUAAAAAACUUCACUAAAACGAUAAAAUUUUAAAAAAUAAAGCAAACAAAACAUACUUUAAAUAGAAAGGAAGUUCGUCCAAUUUUAUUUUAUGUUAUACUUUUUUAUAUUUAUUAAAAUUAAUUUGCCCCUGCUAUUGAAAAAUAAUUUGGGUAAAAAUAAAUAUUUAAAUAAAUUUUAUCAUAAAAGGACAAAAAAAAUUAUAUAUAAAUACACAUAUUUUUAAAUAUUCUAAACUAACUAUCUAUAUUAUAAACAGGAACUCUUUGACUCCAAAUCUAUCUCUCGCUAUCUACUGUUGAAAUCGCUAUGAGUAAUCCAACGCUGAGAUUCACUUGAGAUUUUUUUUAUAUUUAUUAAAUUAUUUAUUCAUGGUUUUAAUAAACUAUUUAAAUUUAUCAUAAUAAGGAUAAAAAAAUAUAUAAAAUUUUAACAAGUAUAUCUAAAAGGUGAUUUUUUUUUAUAUAGUGCCCGUGGGCACGCACAUACUAGUUUAUAGAUAUUUUAGUAACUUUAGAUCUAAUCUAUACCCCUAAAUUUAUAAUAAUAGAGGUGUCUAGUAUUAUAAAUUCAGUCAAUUUGAUGGAUUACAAAUCUAUUGGAUUAUAUAUUCAACCUCAAAGAGAGUCAACAUAUACCAUAGUAGUGACCUCACAGAAUUUAUAAUUCAAUCCAACAUUUUUUUCACUAAAACAAAUAUGCCCUUAACACCAAAACCAUCAUAAGCUCACACACACAUACCUAUAAUAUGUGUAUAUUUUUAUACAAGGAAAGCAAAAACCUCAAGUGUAAAGUGGCAUAUUUGCCCUUUUGGCAUACAUUAAUGUCUUGAUAAUUCUGUCCCUAUCUCUCUACACCACUUCCCUUUGCCAUCUCUCUCUGGAUUCUAGUCACCUUCAAACUUCUUAAAUCUGCCUUUCUCUCUUUACAAAACUCAGACGAAUCACUACAUCUUUUUCUUGUUUCCCGCGUUCUCCGUCUAUUUAAAUUUUCUUCGUCAAGAAAUUCUGGCGAAAGAGACCAGCGAGUGAGCUCACAAACCUCAUGGUGGCUUCAAGAUAUCUGUCGUCCAUGUACACAGAGGAUGAUCAAAUCCAGAACAGGGAUCACAAUCACACCAUCUAGUAAUUCUUUAGGAUACGAAUAGGGGUUGUUCACGGUUGGAUUUGUUUGAUUUUGAGUAAUUCCACAAACUAAAUCGAAUUCUACAGCUCUUGAAAUUUUAAAAUCAAAUCAAUCCGUCCAAAACUUAGUACUAUUUAAUCCGAACCUAAAAAUAUCGGUUUGAUACCGGUUUCAAAUCACGAUUUUGGUAGGUAAAUUUUUUACUAUACAAUAAUCACAUUGCUUAAUAUAAUUCAUUGACUCCAUAUUCAAAACCUAGCAACCAAAUAAUAGAAUCUAUGGCAUAAACAUAUAAUUUAAUUUUCUCUAAAAUAGAAUAUUUAAUAUAGUUAGACAAUUAUCAAGACUAUAUAAAGCAACAAUAUAAUUUAAGAUGAAAAAUAUAAGUAUAAAAUUAUAAGAAAAAUAUUUUAUCCGAUCCGGUUCGGUUUAGAAUCGGAAUCGUCACUAAUCUGUAAAUUGAACCGAUCAAAACAAUUUUUAGAAUUUUAAAAUCGGAAUCGAACCGGCUAUAUAAAAAACUGUUCCAAACCGAACGAUUCGGACUGAUUACCGGUUUGUUCUUUUGGUCAAACUUAGAUACAAACCCAUGAGAGCAGUGAGAGGGAACAACGCCUCUUUUUUCUUCGAUAUUUGAAUUUGAUUCCUCGAGAUCAAUUCUUUUUCGUAGUUGAGAGCAUUGAGAUCUGGUCGUUAACUCCCCUUCACAACUCGGAGCCUGAUCUCUCUCUUCUCAAAUUAAUUAUAAAAUUACCUCUGUAUAGCAAUGCAACUCUCAACAAGGUUUCUGAGAUUAAAACAAUUACAGAGAGGGAGAAGAUUAAAGGAUGCUAAGGGUUUGUGUGAUAUGGGUUUCUCGAGGGAGGGAUCUAGAUUGAAGAGGGGGAGAAGCGAGGGAGACGAUGGGUGCGAGGGACAAUUAUUUCAAAUGUCAGGCAAGGGGAAUAUGUGGAAUAAAAACAUACGAUUGUUAACUGUGCGUGUACGCAACAUUCU